rfam:Oryza sativa (indica cultivar-group) chromosome 2, whole genome shotgun sequence.
AAUAAACACAGCUAUACGUUUUCGUGUCCAACUUUUAUCGUUCGUUUUAUUUUAAAUUUUAUAAUUAGUAUUUUUAUUGUUAUUAGAUUAUAAAACAUAAAUAAUAUUUUAUACUUGACUUAUGUUUUUAGUUUUUUUCAAAGAAAAUUAAACAAUAUGAAUGAUUAAAGUUGAAAACGAAAAUUUAUGACUGCACUUAUU